rnacentral:rRNA from 1 species
UACGAAGGGGGCUAGCGUUGCUCGGAAUUACUGGGCGUAAAGCGCACGUAGGCGGCUCUUUAAGUCGGAGGUGAAAUCCUGGAGCUCAACUCCAGAACUGCCUUCGAUACUGUAGAGCUUGAGUUCGGGAGAGGUGAGUGGAACUGCGAGUGUAGAGGUGAAAUUCGUAGAUAUUCGCAAGAACACCAGUGGCGAAGGCGGCUCACUGGCCCGAUACUGACGCUGAGACGCGAAAGCGUGGGGAGCGAACAGG